AGGACGAACGCUGGCGGCGUGCUUAACACAUGCAAGUCGAGCGGAAAGGCCUUUCGGGGUACUCGAGCGGCGAACGGGUGAGUAACACGUGAGUAAUCUGCCCAUCGCUUCAGGAUAGCCAUCGGAAACGGUGAUUAAUACUGGAUAUGACAUUCCUUCGCAUGUUGGGGUGUGGUAAAGUUUUUUCGGCGGUGGAUGUGCUCGCGGCCUAUCAGC
rnacentral:rRNA from 1 species